rnacentral:rRNA from 1 species
CCUACGGGGGGCAGCAGUAGGGAAUAUUGCUCAAUGGGGGAAACCCUGAAGCAGCAACGCCGCGUGGAGGAUGAAGGUUUUCGGAUUGUAAACUCCUUUUGUUAGAGAAGAUAAUGACGGUAUCUAACGAAUAAGCACCGGCUAACUUCGUGCCAGCAGCCGCGGGAAUACGGAGGGUGCAAGCGUUACUCGGAAUCACUGGGCGUAAAGAGCGCGUAGGCGGGAUAGCAAGUCAGUUGUGAAAUCCUAUGGCUUAACCAUAGAACUGCAUUUGAAACUGUUAUUCUAGAGUAUGGGAGAGGUAGGUGGAAUUCUUGGUGUAGGGGUAAAAUCCGUAGAGAUCAAGAGGAAUACUCAUUGCGAAGGCGACCUGCUAGAACAUAACUGACGCUGAUGCGCGAAAGCGUGGAGAGCAAACAGGAUUAGAUACCCCUGUAGUC